CGGGGCGUAGCGCAGCCUGGUAGCGCACUUGCAUGGGGUGCAAGNNUCGAAUCCCGCCGCCCCGACCA
rnacentral:tRNA from 1 species